UAGGAUAGCCAUAUCACCCUGCAACUCACAAAUGGCAACCCACUGAAGCUAAGCAGGUGUGAGCCUGGUCAGUACCUGGAUUGGAGACCUCCUGGGAAAAACAGGGUGCUCACCCUGC
ensembl:rRNA 5S_rRNA 5S ribosomal RNA